rnacentral:rRNA from 1 species
ACUCAAAUGAAUAGACGGGGACCCGCACAAGCGGUGGAGCAUGUGGUUUAAUUCGAGGCUACGCGAAGAACCUUACCCAGGCUUGACAUGUAGUUGCCAGCCCAUGAAAGUGGGUGUCUCCGCAAGGAGCGAUUACACAGGUGCUGCAUGGCUGUCGUCAGCUCGUGCUGUGAAGUGUUGGGUUAAGUCCCGCAACGAGCGCAACCUUUAUUCUUAGUUGCCAUCAUUCAGUUGGGCACUCUAGGAAGACUGCCGGUGAUAAACUGGAGGAAGGAGGAGACGACGUCAAGUCAGUAUGGCCCUUAUGCCUGGGGCUACACACGUGCUACAAUGGCCGCCACAAUGGGCUGCGAUCCCGCGAGGGGGAGCUAAUCCCAAAAAAACGGCCCCAGUUCAGAUCGCAGGCUGCAACUCGCCUGCGUGAAGUCGGAAUCGCUAGUAACGGUACAUCAGCAUCGGUACCGUGAAUACGUUCCCGGGUCUUGUACACACCGCCCGU